rnacentral:tRNA from 1 species
GCAGCCGGCUUAGCCGAAUGGUUACGCUGUCCGCUUUGUAAGCGGAAGAUCUUGGACUCGAUUCCCAUCUGCUUCA